CUCAUGGUUUCACGGUAUUGCAAUGAGAACAAUUUAAAACCCUUAGCGAGAAUCAAGUGGAGGACAAGUCUGGUGCCAGCACCCGCGGUAAUUCCAGCUCCACUAGCGUAUAUUAAAGUUGUUGCAGUUAAAAAGCUCGUAGUUGAACCUCUGUCUGGGGCUAGUUUAGGCUUUGGUCAGGCUAGUUCUAGGCAUCCGCCUACAAGACUUAGAGGGCAUUCAGUUGUUCACUAGGAGGAGUAGGCAUUUUACUUUGAAAAAAUUAGAGUGUUUAAGGCAGGCAAUCGCCCGCAUAUAUUAGCAUGGAAUAAUAGAAUAGGACACUUUUCCAUUUCGUUGGUUAUUGGAAUCGUGUAAUGAUUAAUAGGGACAGUUGUGGGCAUUUGUAUUUAAUUGUCAGAGGUGAAAUUCUUGGAUUUAUUAAAGACAAACUAACGCGAAAGCAUUUGCCAAGGAUGUUUUCAUUAAUCAAGAACGAAAGUUAGGGGAUCAAAGACGAUCAGAUACCGUCCUAGUCUUAACUAUAAACUAUUCCGACUCAAUGUUUGACUGGCUUAUAUAACCAGUUGAGCGUUGUAUGAGAAAUCAAAGUCUUUAGGUUCUGGGGGGAGUAUGGUUGCAAAGCUGAAACUUAAAGGAAUUGACGGAAGAGCACAACCAGGAGUGGAUUCUGCGGCUUAACUUGACUCAACACGGGGAAACUUACCAGGUUAAAACAAUAGUGGGAUUGACAGUUUGAGAGCGCUUUCUUGAUUGGUUGGGUGGUGGUGCAUGGCCGUUCUUAGUUGGUGGAGUGAUUUGUCAGCUUAAUUGCGUUAACGAACGAGACCUUAACCUGCUUACUAGACUGGCGAUCAUCAAUCGUUAGCUCUUCUUAGAGGGACUUUGGUUGUUUUAACUCCAAGGAAGUUUGAGGCAAUAACAGGUCUGUGAUGCCCUUAGAUAUCCUGGGCCGCACGCGUCAUACAAUGACUAGUUCAGAAAGUUUUCUCCUGACCCGAAAGGGGAUGGGUAAUCUUGAUAAUACUAGUCGUGUUAGGGAUCGAUCUUUGCAAUUAUAGAUCUUGAACGAGGAAUUCCUAGUAAGUGCGGUUCAUCAGACCGUACUGAUUACGUCCCUGCUCUUUGUACACACCGCCCGUCGCUUCUACCGAGUGGGUGGUCCGGUGAGAUAAUUGAACUUCGCAGGUAACUGAGAGGAAAGAUUAUCAAACCUAUCCACCU
rnacentral:rRNA from 1 species